GACGAACGCUUGCGGCGUGCCUAAGAAAUGCAAGUCGAGCGAGGUCUAGAAGCUUGCUUCGAAAACCUAGCGGCGAACGGUCGCGUAACACGUAAGCAACCUGCCCUAAAGUUGGGGAUAGCCCACCGAAAGGUGGAUUAAUACCGAAUGUGGAUGCCUUUUCUCCUGAUUAGGUAUCUAAAGCAGCAAUGCGCUUUAGGAUGGGCUUGCGGCCUAUCAGCUAGUUGGUGUGGGUAAUGGCUCACCAAGGCGACGACGGGUAGCUGGUCUGAGAGGAUGGUCAGCCGGACUGGGACUGAGAUACGGCCCAGACUCCUACGGGUGGCAG
rnacentral:rRNA from 1 species